CACUCAGCAUUACCUCAUCGGCGUGUAACGCCAGGGGGAGGUGUACCUCGCUAGUGACGUCAUGUCACGAAGGUAUUCAUCCCACCCGGUCCACUGCGCCCUUGAGCGUGACGUCAUCUCUGCCUGGGUCACUGCCCUUACCUAUUGGGCAAAGCUACUCCCGGUGACUGGCGGCUCAUUAACAUAAUAUAUUCAUGAAAGCCGUCGCGAGUUUAUUGCGACGAGUUCGGCACCCACGCCCACAGAGCCGCUCAUCGUGGGAGGGGAGUGUUUUGUACCCCGCAAGUGACGUCAUGUCAACUCCUGCUGCUGCGUGACGUCACGAAGUAACAGGAAGCUUCUGCUCCGCCGUGCACUGAAAUCCGAGGCCAAGCCCGCUUGAGCUGCUGUACCGCUUUUGUUUUCGGAAGCGACCUGCCCACAACACAAGAAUUUAUCUGAUGGAGAAAAGGCACUGGGCGCAGCUCGGUGCAACAAGGCGACAAUGCGACCGGUGUGCAUUCAGCACGGAUCGUCCUGACCGUUUGAGACGGCACCAGAGAACUCACACAGGAGAGAAACCCUUCAAGUGCAGUGUGUGUGAGAAGGCGUUUUCACAGUCACCAAAUCUUCAUGUACACCAGAGAACACACACGGGAUAUAAACCCUUCAAGUGCAGUGCGUGUGGGAAGACGUUUACACUUUCUGCAAAUCUUCAAAGACACCAGAGAACUCACACAGGAGAGAAACCCUUCAAGUGCAGUGUGUGUGGGAAGGCGUUUGCACAGUCAUCUGCUCUCGUAACACACCAGAGAUCACA